rnacentral:rRNA from 1 species
UACGUAGGGGGCUAGCGUUGUCCGGAAUCAUUGGGCGUAAAGCGCGCGUAGGCGGCCUGGUAAGUCCGCUGUGAAAGUCAAAGGCUCAACCUUUGAAUGUCAGCGGAUACUGCCAGGCUAGAGUCCGGAAGAGGCGAGUGGAACUCCUGGUGUAGCGGUGGAAUGCGCAGAUAUCAGGGAGAACACCAACGGCGAAGGCAGCUCGCUGGGACGGAACUGACGCUAAGGCGCGAAAGCGUGGGGAGCGAACAGG